UGCAAGUCGUGCGAGAAAGUAUCUUCGGAUAUGAGUAGAGCGGCGGACGGGUGAGUAACGCGUAGGAAUCUACCUAGUAGAAGGGGAUAGCCCGGGGAAACUCGGAUUAAUACCGUAUACCUCCUUCGGGAGAAAGAAGGCCUCUCUUUGAAGCUUUCGCUAUUAGAUGAGCCUGCGUAAGAUUAGCUUGUUGGUGAGGUAAAGGCUCACCAAGGCGACGAUCUUUAGCGGGUCUGAGAGGACGAUCCGCCACAUUGGGACUGAGACACGGCCCAGACUCCUACGGGAGGCAGCAGUGGGGAAUAUUGGACAAUGGGCGCAAGCCUGAUCCAGCCAUACCGCGUGUGUGAAGAAGGCCCUAGGGUUGUAAAGCACUUUAAGUUGGGAAGAAAAGUUAUUGGUUAAUAUCCAAUAACCGUGACAUUACCAUCAGAAUAAGGACCGGC
rnacentral:rRNA from 1 species